UGUCAUAUUCGUAUUUAACAG
ensembl:piRNA 21ur-7549 ncRNA